rnacentral:lncRNA from 1 species
UAUGAACUUCGGUUGGGGUUAUUUCAUACCCAACAUACAUCAUGAUUUAUGAUAUGAAAAAUAUACACUUUAGAUCUAAAAAUAAAAGUACAUCCAUCUCAUCGAUGCCGAAAGUCUAGAUCUAACUAUUAGAUCUAACAUUGCGAUUAGGAUAAAAUAGAAAACAUUACCAAACAAUUUUGAUAUUAAUUUCUUUUAGUCCAAUGAUUGGAGAAGGUAUUCCUUAGAUCACUCAUAGCUACAUGAAGUCAUCUGGCCUUUAUAAAAAAAUUCACGCAAAAACUGGCAC